GGUGUUCUCGAUUGUAGCUGAGCACGGGACCACAGCCCGGUGACCAAAGGACAUUCCCCCCAGGCGAGGCAGCCUCCAUUGGCACGCGACGUGGAUUCUCAUCCCAGAUGCCAGAGAGAUAAGUGGAGGGCUAACACCCACAGAGGGGACGAAGGUGGGGUGCUGGGAGGGCCUUUUGAAUGAGCUUUGGGGGUGGGGAUGUCCAAGAAGUGUCCCCUUAUGCCACCUAAAUGGAAAGUGUCUGUUUUGAUCUCAGUGCUGAGGUGCUCAGGGCAGAGCAGUUCUGUUGUGUGUCCUGUCACUUGUCUCUGGUGCACCCUGUGUUUUUUGGUCUCUUGGUCCUUUCUUCUCCUCAAAAGCUCUCUCUCCCUGUCCUGUCUCCUGGUUUGUCAAAUCCUAUCCUGUGUCACGGGUGUCUGCACAUAUUUAUCCCGGAGCUGCUCUGCCCUGCUGCAUAGCCUGUAAAAGCACAAGUCCUGUGGACUUGAAAUUUGUAAUGCAGGGUGUAGUUGGGCUCUAGAUUGUAUUAGGAGAUUGACAUAACAUGUUUGGUGCUGUUAAGUUGUCCUUCAGCUGUUUGAUGCUAGUCCUAACUUCCUUUCAGAUGCAGACAGUUCAAAUCAGUGGCAAAGAGCCCCAGUCCUGGGUGAGGGUUUUCCCAUGAGCAGGUCAGUCAUUGUUUGCAUUUGCAGGGGCAGCCUAAAUGGUGACUGUGUUACAGCAGUGUUCUUUGCCUUUAUUUUUAGGAGGUCCAGGCAGAUAGCAGCAGUCAAGGCCCUGUGUGCCAGGCAGUCUUCUUGCAAGAUGUCUCUGGUCCGGAUGUCCAAGGCCAGGUGCUGUCUCUGCCCUAGCUGUGUGAAGGAACAGAGGCGAGCGGGUGAGUUGGCAUUUUGGCACAGUGACUCACAGGUGACCCUUAUGCAGCAGCAUGCUAAGUGUGUACUUUAUGUUUUUCAGGUAUCCUCCAGGCAGCCUGUGGAGUCAAAUUGAGACUUCAGGUGAGCUGGGGCAGCGGUGUGUCGGAGUUUUGGGGAUUCCUCUUUUCGUGGGCACUGGUUGCAUUUUCUGUUUUGUCUUAGGUACCCUGAGGAGGAGCGUAGCUGAAGUUUGUUAACGGCAGCACCGAAGCGGAUGUACAGAACGUCUUGUCGUCCACAUCGAACUGACAUUGGAUUCCAUCCGGUUGUCUUGCAAAAGCUAAGUGCUGGGGCCAGUAGGUGGGAGAUGGGGGGAAAACCUUUACUAUCACAGGAGGCUAUUUGAUGUUAGCUUGGAGAAUAGGCCCAUAGUGGGACGGGCCCCUCGGGAGCAAAGGGAGAGGGUUUCUCCUCAG
rnacentral:lncRNA from 1 species